rnacentral:rRNA from 1 species
UACAGAGGUCUCGAGCGUUAUGCGGAAUCACUGGGCUUAAAGCGUGUGUAGGCGGAUGUCUAAGUACCUUGUGAAAUCCCACGGCUUAACCGUGGAACUGCUGGGUAUACUGGAUGUCUUGAGCCAUCUAGGGGCAACUGGAACGAAUGGUGGAGCGGUGAAAUGCGUAGAUAUCAUUCGGAACGCCGGUGGUGAAAACGGGUUGCUGGGGAUGUGCUGACGCUGAGACACGAAAGCCAGGGGAGCGAACGGG